rnacentral:rRNA from 1 species
UGGGGAAUAUUGGACAAUGGGCGCAAGCCUGAUCCAGCGAUGCCGCGUGUGUGAAGAAGGCCUGCGGGUUGUAAAGCACUUUAGGUGAGGAGGAAGGUUUCUGAUUUAAUAGAUUAGGAAUUUGACGCUACUCACAGAAUAAGCACCGGCUAACUCUGUGCCAGCAGCCGCGGUAAUACAGAGGGUGCAAGCGUUAAUCGGAAUGACUGGGCGUAAAGGGCGUGUAGGCGGAUACAUAAGUUAGAUGUGAAAUCCCUGGGCUUAACCUAGGAACUGCAUCUAAUACUGUGUAUCUAGAGUAUGUGAGAGGAGAGUGGAAUUUCCGGUGUAGCGGUGAAAUGCGUAGAUAUCGGAAGGAACAUCAGUGGCGAAGGCGGCUCUCUGGCAUGAUACUGACGCUGAGGCGCGAAAGCGUGGGUAGCGAACAGG